CAUGAGGUUGACCUCAUAGCUGACUUGACUUCACCUCAUUACUUACAACUAGAUCAUUGUGAGGGCCAGAGGGGGCCUCAGAUAUCAGCCAGGGGGACCUUGUGAGUUCACGAUGAGGAAGCUGAAACGGACAGAGAAGCAAUGGCUUAACCCAAUCAGCUGGCCGGUCAUGGGAACAGCUAUGCAUGGAAGGAGUGAAGAGGAUGCUGCUGGCAGAGAACUCAUCGGCAGCAGCCCCCAGAGGAUAAUGUACAAGGCACGUUCUGUACAGGGAGUCUGCCAGCCUGGCCAAGAGCACCCCCAAAAGCACUUGGAAUGAGCCCAGCUACACCAAGGGUAGGAGAUCUGCCAAUAUCAUGGAGGGAGAAAUACACAUCUAGUCUAUGACCCAGCAUCCCAAAGGCCUGCAGGCUAACCCGCCUCCCUGGAAGAAAACAGAAAGUAGAGGGCCUGUCACUUUUGGAGAUACCCACGAUGGAGACAAUGCUUCAGCAGUGAGCCCAGGUGUCGCCAUGCAAUAGCAUGAGAGCUCUGCCUUUGUCCAUCGACAUGGAAGUGAAAUAAAAGAAAACCACCGAGUUAGAGAAAGCAACCAUUAAACCACCAUCAUCAAUAGCAA